rnacentral:sRNA from 1 species
CACUGUGCCAGGUGCCUAGGCAUGGAAGGUGGGGGAGGCACCCAGCCACCACCCCGAAUUGGUAAUACUUGGGCGCAGGGAGCACGAGGCCUUCGUGGUGGUCAGCCAUGGAGGGGCUUACUCUGUCUCCCACACCCACCAGGGCAUGAAGGCAGGGCUGGAAUGGCAGCCCUAGUUCUGCGUCCCCCCCACUCUUUGGACCUUAUGCAGCUCUACACCCACGUGUCUGAGAACUUGCCACCUUAUGCCUGGCCCCGAUUCCUCAGGCUCCAGGAGUCUUUGGCCACCACAGAGACCUUCAAACAGCAGAAAGUUCGGAUGGCAAAUGAGGGCUUCGACCCCAGCACCCUGUCUGACCCACUGUACGUUCUGGACCAGGCUGUAGGUGCCUACCUGCCCCUCACAACUGCCCGGUACAGCGCCCUCCUGGCAGGAAACCUUCGAAUCUGAGAACUUCCACACCUGAGGCACCUGAGGGAGGGACUCUGUGGGGUGGGGGCCAUUGCAGGUGUACUGGGCUGUCAGGGAUCUUUUCUAUACCAGAACUGCGGUCACUAUUUUGUAAUAAAUGU